CUGUACUAACCCAUUAACCUUGGAAAAUCAACUCUGAUUUGAGUAAGACACUUUAAAAGGUUUUCUACUAGUUUCAACUGUAUUAACAACAAACGAUACAAGGUCAUCAGAGUGAUGGACGGGGUCCCUUACGAUGAGGCCAUCUGCGUUUAGUUAGCUGGUGACAGUAUGACAAAGGGCAGGUAUAUGAAGAUGCAUACCUGUCCAGGAAAGACCAUUCUCCCAGAAAAGAGAGUUGCAUUCAGGCUUGACAUGAGCAGUAAAACCACAUCAUUGGUACCAAAGGAUCUGAGUGUUCUGAACAUCGCUGUGCUCUCUUCAGUCAUGGCAUCUGCUGCUCAAGAACCGACAAUGGGACUCCCCACUGCUUACUGAAUCAAAUCCAGAUACUUCAUCCUGACUUUUAAAAAAAAUAAUUAUACUGUAAUUUACUAAAUUUCUCCUAUCUGUGCAAACAUACUUUGAAAGCAAAUAACUAAAAGCAGAUGUUAUUAUUUUACUUUGAAAUAAAAAUUUCUUUACCUUGUGAAUAAAAAAGGCU
rnacentral:lncRNA from 1 species